CAGUAGCCGCGGUAAAACGAAGGGGGCUAGCGUUGUUCGGAUUUACUGGGCGUAAAGCGCACGUAGGCGGAUCGAUCAGUCAGGGGUGAAAUCCCAGAGCUCAACUCUGGAACUGCCUUUGAUACUGUCGAUCUGGAGUAUGGAAGAGGUGAGUGGAAUUCCGAGUGUAGAGGUGAGAUUCGUAGAUAUUCGGAGGAACACCAGUGGCGAAGGCGGCUCACUGGUCCAUUACUGACGCUGAGGUGCGAAAGCGUGGGGAGCAAACAGGAUUAGAUACCCCCGUAGUCCCUGUCUCUUAUAC
rnacentral:rRNA from 1 species